AGCAGGUGGUUAAAAUCGACUCCGUUUGAUAAUUUAAUUUCAUAAAUACAUAUAUUUGAUACAAUAUAUGACGAAAUUCUUGGGUGGAUAGGAAUACAGUUCCUAAGCGGUUCCACCGAGUUGCUUGGAAAGUUGCGAUCAAUCCACUUCCUGAACAUGGACACAUUUUUGAAGGUCGAGGAAACGUUUGGCCUGCCGCAAUCGACGCCCCAGGCCACGAUCCCGACCUGGUGAUAUCUAGCGAAGAUUGCGUCAGGGGAACAAACCAAGAUGGACCCACCGUCACCAACGCAGACAUCCUUGUCCUUCUGUCCGCUGACACAUAUGAGACUGGUGGCAAGCUGAAACCUGGUUUUCCUCAACAUAUUCUGGCAAUCUCCUUUGUUUACUAUGGGUAACUCGAUUUGCUUUUGUAUACUCGACAUUUGAGAGUCGUUAAAAGAACGCUUUCCCCAUCCGGAAAUCACACAGUGUGUCUGCUCAAUGGACGACCCUUGAAGAGGUAUAGACAACAACAGGUGGGCUGCCGUUAGUACAACCUCAGGGGCAAUCAGGGAACCUCCUCCAAAGAACGAGGACAGGGACGGAUUCUCCAUCUGGUGUAGUAGGGGUAGAAUGGAUACAAGCUGCGUACAAACUCUGUGAACCUGUAGUGCACUUACUUGAGCUCUUAUUUCACUUACUUGAGCCCUUAUUUCACAACACACUUAAGUGGGUCCACAGAAUACAUUAGUCGGUCGAUGCCAAUCGCCGGUUUGGUGCACUCCCAUCGUUGGCCAAACAUCGUUUUGGAUAAUAACAGGCGUGGCCACAAACCAACCAGCUCAGGAGAAGCACUCCUAUGGUCUAGUGGCACUCCAUUGUCCGAUUCAGAAGACUACUUGCCGAAGACUGAUAUUGCAAUAAGUGGUCUCAGCAGGCUUUCUUAUUACAUUUCUUUUUUGCUGAUAAGAAUAAAAAAACAUGCAACACGCUUUCCAAGAAAUUGAAAAUUGU
rnacentral:lncRNA from 1 species